AAAAUGGAUCAAAUCACAGCUGAGUUUAAGGGCCGUGUUGGAGAUAUGGUCAAGGACGCUGCAGCGAAACUCCGCUGCACAACAGGCUGGCUGCACAACAAGCUGAAGACAGUAGAAAAAACAUCUUGAAUGAUUCACUACUUAGGGGGGAUGGUGGGCGCGUGGGGUUGCACGACAGGUGUACAGGAAGAAAAAAGGACUCUUUGCUGGACCACGGACUGGUCAGCCCAGGGGACCUUUCAUUCGCACCCCGAAAAUUUUGGAGAAGACUCCCCAGGCCAACAGAUCCACUGUGGGGCAGAGAAAGAGCCCUGGCACAGACCAGGUAUAUUACAGGUCUGAAGCUUUCAGAUAAGAAACCGGACCAACCACUACAAGGGAAGUCAUAUUCAAAAGACCUACCUAAACAAAGCGCAUGUCCAAGAAGGAGGGGAGAGCAAGAAGACAUUCAUGGAAUUAGCACAGGAUGACCCAUUGUCUAGAAUGAUUUAGCAUUUCUCGCUUCGCGGAAUCAUGAUUGUGCGUUUUGUGUGGUAUAAAUAUAUCUGCUUAAGAGCCACUAGUUGCACAAUUGGGGUGGUGUUAGCCCCAUGCACCCGUGUGGCACCUUAAAACUAAUAAAACUACCUUCAUUC
rnacentral:lncRNA from 7 species